GCCCACUCAACAUGAAGAUGACAAGGAUGAAGACCUUUAUGAUGAUCCAUUCCCACUUACUGAAUAAACUUCACCAGGACCCAGGAAAUAAGAUUUGAUUGCUGCACACUUAGAAACAAUGGCAAUCAAGGGAAAUGCCCCAUCUUACAUGGAGCUCUUCUAGUGGAAACACCAUGGUUGCCACCACGUACUGCUCCGUACCUAAGUUUCUAGGAACCAGACUCUGGAAACUCUUCUAGAACUGCCCCAGGAGAACCAACGUGUCUGUUGCUUGCAAAGACCUCCAGUGUCCCUGAGCCUGGCCACUGCCUCCCAUUGCUCAAACCCUCCUAGUCUCGUAUGUGGACAUCUGCUUGGAAGAAUCUCAUCCACGUACAAAAUCCUGGCUCUGUGUUACUUCGUAUUAGAGAGAAUGUUUUUAUUCUCAGGCGAUAGAUGCAAAAAUAUUUAAAGUGCAGCUCACUUUCAAACGGUUCAGCCAAAUGUCGAUGAUUUUUGAAUCUAAGUGGAUGAAGCUUCUUGGUGAUGUAACAGUCUGUGGAAACUCCCACAGGACAAAUGCAGAAAGGAAGGACCUAGAUCACUGGAUGGUCAACGUUGCCCCUUGCACAGCAGCAAAGGCCUAUACAAAUUUUUUGAGUAGCUUUAUCUAGUGGUUCAGCUACUGGGAAUAACUUGUAAAAUCCCCUGGAUAGUCAACAGCAUUGGGGCUUGCUUUGUAAACAGAGACCUGACCUACUUAAUUCUUCCCAGAGGUUGGAAAAAGAGGCUGGACUCACACAGACAUGAAACCUUGGCUUAAUUGGACACUAAUUACUCAUAAGAGAUCUGUUUACCCGAACUUCCCCUAGACCAAGCUCAGUAUAAAAUGAGAGGAUGCAUAAAGAAGCAAGAUAUUUAGAGGAAAAUGUCACAAAUACAUUUAUCAGUCCCAAAAGUCCUUUUUUUUCCCCAGAAGUGAUGUUGCUAAUUGCACAAAAAUAAACAAUACAGGGGUUGAUAAAUUCCACAUUUAAGGGCUGAGGAUAGUGUCCCUACAUUUCUAAGAAGCUGUAUAUUUGGAAAUGAAUACAAUUGAAAGUAAGGAUAAGUGGCAUUCUAAAGCCAAUUGGAUAACUUGAAUGAACAAGCAGAAUUUACCAUAUUUUGAUAUGUUUCUUUUUGAUUAAAGUAUCUGUAAAGGAAACAAA
ensembl:lncRNA ETS2-AS1 ETS2 antisense RNA 1